CAGUAAAUCUGUAUUUCUAAGUCAGUAUCUCCCUUCAGAAAUGUGGCUGAAGGGAGAUACUGACUUAGAAAUACAGCUGAACUCAUGAAAAGAAGCUCAUGAAACACAUUAAUAUGCCUUUUUCAGAAUAUAUUUCACCAAAUUUAAGAAGUCCCUGACAUCAAAACAUGGCUUGUUUUGUUCCUGGACUCUUCAGUGAUGAUGAGCAGAGUCUGAGUGAACCUGCUGUCAGACAAUGACUAUUGCACACCAAAUGCUCUUACUCAGCAGAUGGGGACAGCUACCAUCACCCAAUUUUCACCCAAAAGUGGCUGCGCUAUUCGCCAGACCGGGCAGGAGGGACUGGACGACAACUUAUGCAGGCAUCAGAUGACAAUGAAGUGUAAAUAAAGAGUAGAGAGGCUAAUAAACAGGAAUUUGAUUUUAAA